GCGGCGGCGCUGCGGGACGGGCGGGCCCGGCGCCGCCAUGGCCGCGUCCCCCGCCCAGCGGCGCCGCUGGGAACGGGAGCAGGCCCGGCUGAGGGCCAGCGUGCUGGAGGAGGACACGGAGCCCUGGCAGAAGCAGCCGCAGUUCGCGGGGCUGCACAGAGUGGGAGGCGUGGAUCUGUCCUACAGCAAGGGGGACGAGAGCCGUGCCUGCGCCUCCCUGGUCGUGCUCAGCUACCCGGACCUCGAGGUGCUGUACCAGGACUGCCGCAUGGUGCCCGUCACCGCCCCGUACGUGGCCGGGUUCCUCGCCUUCCGAGAGGUGCCUGUCCUGGUGGAAGCUGUGCAGAGACUUCAGCAGGAGGAGCCCCAGCUCCAGCCUCAGGUGCUUCUGGUGGAUGGGAAUGGCCUGCUCCAUCCCAGAGAGUUUGGCAUAGCGUGUCACCUCGGAGUGCUGACAGACCUGCCGUGCAUCGGCGUGGCCAAGAACCUCCUGCACGUGGAUGGCUUGGUCAGGGAUGAGCUGCACAAGGAGCAGGUUCGUUCCCUGCAGAGGUCAGGAGAGGCAUUCCCACUGACAGGCACCUCAGGGAAGGUCCUGGGCAUGGUGCUGCGGAGCCACAGCAACAGCUCCAGGCCCCUGUACGUGUCCGUGGGCCACCGGGUGAGCCUGGGCACGGCCGUGUCCCUGGUCAGGGCCUGCUGCCGCUUCCGCAUCCCGGAGCCCAUCCGGCAGGCUGACAUCAGGUCCAGGGAGUACCUGCGGAGGCAGCCCUGUGCUCCCGUGGAGGGGCUGCAGGCCGUGCCUGCCAGCCCCCAGAGCAAAAACGAGACUGAAUCAGAGGAUUAGCAUGGUGCCAGAAGAAAGUGCAGAGCUUCUCUUCACUGGGUCCUGUCCUGCACAAGGCUGAGUCCUGCUGGGUGCAGGAGCCCAGUGCCACCCUGGGGACAGCUGUGCCAGGCUGUGCCCCACAGCACAGCACCAGCCACUGCUCAGGGACAGUCCUUGCAGUGAAUUUCUCAGGGUUCCUUUUCCAGUACUGUUGAAGUCUUUGUGCAAGCAAAGCUCACGUGUGAGUUUGCAGCACCUCCCUGGAGUCCUUGUGCAGCUGCAGGGUUGUGCAGCUGCAGGUCUGAUUUACAGAGGUGCUGAGGCACUGCAGAGGCAGCCUGUGUGUGCCACCACACCUCCCUUCCCUCUGUUUUUGGAGCAGCUUCCCCUGUCCCUGCAGCCUGGGCUCUCCAUUGCCCCUGCACAUGAUGGGGAGCAGCAGCCCCACUUGCAGCUCUCCUGGAGGAAGGAUCAUCUCAGGGGAAGGGAUGGCAGGAGCCAUCACCCAUCAGCCUCCCAGGGGCAUGAGGAGGCCAUUCCUGGCACACAGAGAGCUCCAGGUGCCCAAAUGCCAGCCUGGACACCUGGCCCAGCCCCAGCUCAGCCUGAGGAGCAGAGCCCAGAGCUUCUGUGCCCAAAUCAUCCUCAGCCCUGGUCCAUCCUGCAGGACCAAAGCUGCUCCAAGGUGUGGGGUCCUGGCUGGGGCUGGCAGGUGGUUCCUGACUGUUCUGAAGAGCAGAAGGUGCUCUGGGAGAUCCUGGUGUGGCUGUGCAAGAUUCCAGCCUGAAGAGGAAGAAGAUGGCAGCUUUAUGGGGGUGGGGAGGGGCCCUGUGGGCUGUUUCACCUCCAUUUUGCAUAAAUUUGUUGUACAACUCUUGUUCUUUUCUGUCUUGGAGCUGCUGUGGGUGGGGAGGACAAAGCCCAGCCCGUUGUGUCUCUGCUGUGUUGGGUCUGAACCAGGUGGGGAAAGGGGGGAAGUGACAAAUCCUGGGGCCAGCAGGGCAGGGCUGGGGCUGUCCUGGCACCGCUGGGGACAGGGGAAACAGGGACAGCCAUGUCCCCUCCUUGCAAGGACACAGAACCUCCUCUGCCCUGGCCUGAGGGAGCAGGGUGGGACAGCCACAGGCAGCAGGGAUCCGUUCAUUCCUCAUUCCAGCCCCACACAGACAGUGACUUCUCUGGCCAUGGGGACAGUGUCCUAACGCCUGUCACAGAUUCAGGCACCAGUGACAGGGUGGGCAGGGGACAGCUCCUUCCCGGAGCUCAUGGCAGAACACCAGGGAAUCACCUGGGUUUCUGAUUUGGCCUGUGCUGGGAGGGUCAUCCCAAAUUCUGAGUGACACCAUUGGUUCAGCCCAGGUGUGCUGAAUGGGGCUCCUCAUUGUGGGUGCAGACUGAGCCAGGUGUGCUGAAUGGGGCUCCUCAUUGUGGGUGCAGACUGACCCAGGUGUGCUGAAUGAGGCUCCUCAUUGUGGGUGCAGACUGAGCCAGGUGUGCUGAAUGGGGCUCCUCAUUUGGCUCUGAGGGGAGCAGCUCCUCCAGGCUGGCCCUGGCAGAGCAGGGGAACCUUCAGAGUGUGGGACUGUGGCUCCUCCUGCCCUGGAUGGGCUCGGGACCCCUCACGGGACCCCCAGCCGGAGGAGGAUCCGCCCAGAGCUCCUCGGCGGGGUCUGGGAUCCCAGCGCCUCCAUAAUCCGCCGGGAUGGAUGGGAAGGAUGGAGGCAGCAGCUGCCAAGGUGACGUGUGACAGCAGCUGGAAAAUCGCAGGAGGAGGAGCCGGGGAAAGGCUGUGACAAGAUUGCGAGAAGGCAGAGCCGGGGGCAGCCCCGCGUUCCUGCGCUGGGCAGGGAUGGGGUGUCCUGUGCCAGCCUGGCUGGGGCAGCAGCACCGUGGGCAGGCUGCAGGGUGUGAACAGCAGCGCUGGCUCUGGGACUGCCGGUUCUGGCUGUGUUCCCCGCAGGGAGGAGGGCUCCGUGCUGGCCGGGAUGCCCGGGCAGUGCCUCGGCUGUAGGAACCGGUGCUGUGCCAGCCAAGGCUCCCGAGUGGCAUUUGAGGGCCGCGGUCGCAGCCCGUGACUCACGGCCGUGACCGGAACGCUCUGUCGGCCUUGACUCGGUGCCCGGGGCCGUGUCCAGCUGCCCGCGGUGCCCCGGGCUCGGCCCUGGCACGGCUCGGUCCUGUUCCCCCGCCCUCUCACACAGGGAUCCAUCCCAUCCCAUCCUCAUCCUCCCCGACCGGGAUGUCCCCAGCCCUGUCCGGCUGCAGUGUUUGCUGCCCGCCCCACUGCCCUCCUCCUCCCGUGCCAGCCUGAGGGCGGCUCUUGGAGCCCCUCGGUGUCCCUGGGGAGCCUCGGGUGCUCUCUGGACCCUCCCCGUGGUGCCCAGAGCCCCUCGGCCCCGCUCGGGGAGCUCAGGCUGGAGCUGCUGUGAGCCCCAGGGCCGGGAUCCCCCUGGGAUGCUGCUGCUCCCGGCUCCGGGCUGGGCAGGAGGGGAUGUAGAACCGCUCAUG